rnacentral:rRNA from 1 species
GACUCUCGGCAACGGAUAUCUUGGCUCUCGCAUCGAUGAAGAACGUAGCGAAAUGCGAUACUUGGUGUGAAUUGCAGAAUCCCGUGAACCAUCGAGUCUUUGAACGCAAGUUGCGCCCGAGGCCAUCCGGUUGAGGGCACGCCUGCCUGGGCGUCACGCCUCGCGUCGCUCCG